rnacentral:hammerhead_ribozyme from 1 species
AUCCAGCUGAUGAGUCCCAAAUGAGACGAUACGCGCAUCCUGGAU